UAUAUAUUGAUGUGUUUUUGAGCUCUCGAGAACAGAUGGGCUUUCUAUUUCUGGUAUGUCAUCUUCUUCAACAAGCUUUUCGUCUUCUUCAUUAUCAAAAUUCGACUCUGUUUCUCCGUUGAAGUCUCACGGGUUCCUCUAUCUCGAGUGCUGCUUCUCACGCCGUCUAGGACCUGUCUCGAUGCCGCUGCGUCUCUGCCUCCGCCUCUGCGCCUCAAACUACUUCGCGCUGCGUCUCCUCCUUUGUGAGCGGCUCCAUAUCUCCUCCUCUGACUCAUUAUACUAUGCGACUCCAGAUUUCUUUUCCUUCUCUUUCAGUCGCCGGCAAUGAUGGUUAAGCCUCUUGGAUCUGCUCUGAGAUGGAAUCUGAUUGUUUGGGGAUCUGUUAGGUUCUGAUUUUAUUUAUCUGAUAUUGUUAUUGCAUGAAUGAUGAUAACCUUCACUGAUAUUGACGAGAGUCCAAUGUUCUAUCAUUCAUACCGUUGAGCGGAUUGUUUUCUUCUGAGAUAUGCAAGAAGGAUCUCCUGGCUGCGAUGUUUAUAUCUCAAUCCAUCCAAUUAGGCAAGCUAAGUUUGCAAGUUUCUUUCUUCCUUUGUCGUUUUUAUAUUAUAUUAUGAGUUUAACCGGAAAAGAGAUAUGAUCAACACAUUUUAUUCUCUUUUAAAUUUUCACAGGUGAAAAUUAGGAAUUUGAAUGUGUUUUCAGCAAUUAGAAGGAAAGUUAACUAUGAGAUCCAGACAAUCACUUCUCUACAACCAGGGCCAAGCAGUGGCGGAGGCUGGAAAUAAUUUUAUUGGGGGCACAAAUAUUAAAUGUUCUUAUCUAUGUUAUUGUUACGUGUAUUUUUAGGGGGUUUAAGCAAAUCUAUGGGGGCAAACGUUGUUUUAGAAUGGGGGCAUAUAGACUGGGAUUUAGUAACUUACACUAAUUUUUGAAAUUUUGUUGGGUUCAGCGGCCCCCGUCUUACUACAUGUGGCUCCGCCACUGGGGCCAAGCCGAGAAGAUACCAAGCUAAAUAAUAUUUGUAUAUUUCACAACGUCGCAAUAUCAAUGUAUGUUUAGCUUGAGUAUAGAUGAUCAGAAAACAAAAACAAUGAGGAAAAAAGAGCUCGCUGAUUAACAAUGCAUUCCAGAACCAUUUCUUCCAGAAGUGAUACUCAUCAAAGCUUCUUUGCCAGAGCUUCCUCAAGUAAAGCGCAGGAGGUACGAGGACAUGGGUCUAGGCAUUCAACAUGUGUUUUCCUGGAAAAUGAUGUCAAUUUAUAGGCAAGGGUGCUGAAGUGUAGUUCACCGCAAGUUUGCUAAUGAGUGAUAUCGUUGUUCUCUUGAACAAGGAAGAAUCUUCAGUCAAUGAUGUUAAACUUACUUCUUAAGAGUUGGCUGAGCUGAUACCUGCAAUAAAUGAUGGAACCAUUAGGGGAAAGAGUGGUAAACAUGUCAGUUUUACUUAAUAUCAGUCUAGAGAUGUCAUCAUUUUUGUUUUGGAUCAAAGCUAUUUAUUUUAUUAUUCCAGUUCCAGAUAUUGUUUGAGCUCUUGGCCAAAGGUGGAACUGCCCAAUGAAUGUUAAACGCAAAAGACUUGGUCUAGGCAAAUAUAUACUAUUCAGAGAAAUACAUCUUUUUGUUUCCUCUGAGCCAUUUUGAAAUUUGAAGGUUCAUUGAGAAUAUACUUCAGGCUCUUUUUAAUUUGCCCACUUAAGUUUGAUUUUGUUUCUUUCUAUCUCUCCGCCCAGGCGUUUACUCAGCAUUUUGAGUAUAAUUAUGGACAAUGCUGAAGAAGUAUCACAACACUAUAGAUUGAUGAUGAGACAUACAAGAGAUUGUUUGGGUACGUGCUUCUUUCUUUAAACUUUGACAUGAUCUAUGUUUCAUUGUAAGAUAAAAUUAUGAUAUAUUGUAGGAGUCUCCUUUAGAUGCACUACAGGAAAUGUAGGUAUUAAUAGCAUCGGAUUAUAGCGUUUAUGACAGUUCUGCUAUUGUAUACCAAUACUGACUUUUUUAAUAGCGUUUAUAUAUUUAAAAUGCUAUGUUUGGUAUCGCGGGAAAAUAAAAAAUUUUAGCGGCGUUAAUUUACUAAGUAUAUGUGCCUUACCAUUACAGAUCCAAAAUAAAACGCUAUGGUAAAUGUUAAAUAUCUCAAAUUUUAAUAAAAAAUACUUUAAGUUAACCUUUAACCAAGCUUGAUACACAAAAAAAAAAUCAAUUCUCUCCUCUGUCACAUUACGAGAAAUCAAACGACCAUCUUCUCUGUCUUUUGACGAAUCCUCCUCCUUCUUUCGAUGUCACGCUCGCCGUCCCACCACCACCACCACCACACCACGUUUCGAUCUUCUCUCUUUGUUGUUGGGUUUCGAAUCUUACCUCAUCUUGAUCUGUCGAAUAUCAUUUUCAGCCAAAAAGACUCCUCCUUUAUCCACACAGGAGUUUCCAGCUUAUAUAGAUAUGUUCGUGUUGUUCUUGGAGUUUGGCUAUUUUCGGGGAAUUGUAGAGGACACAGAGAGAAAGGUCUCUUGUGUAUGGGCUCAAGGUCUCCUUGGAGAUCUUGAGAUUGUAAUUGGUUCCGAUAAACAAUAAUAUAGUACUUGGUUGCUUAUCAAUUGGUGCGGUGAGCCGUUCGAUCGCUGAGACAGUGACGGUGAGCUCGAUCAGACGCAACGGUGAAGAUGGAUCGUAACAAUGAGUUCUGAGAAGUUUCCGGUUUUCAAUGGCGUUGCUGAUGAAUUGCGGCCAUGGAUUUCAUCAAUUGAGGUUGGAAAGAUCAAACGCGACGGUGAGACGUCUGGACCUUUGCGAAGAACUUCAUUGGAGGUUUCAAGAGACGUUUCAACAGAAUCGAUACAGUCCGGAGCAUCUACGAUGGGAUUCAUAGAGAUUCCUGUGUUUUCUGGUGAUGAUUUGAGACCAUGGAUUAAUUGGAUGGAGAAUCGAUUUGCGGCGGAAGACUUCACGGAUGAUCAGAAGAUGGCGUUGGCUUACGGUGUCAUCAGAGGAGAAGCUGAGUCUUGGUACAACAAUCGAGUAUCGCGGCGUCCUUUUCAAAAUUGGAAAGACCUCAAGGAUGCGAUGUUGCUGCGGUAUGGAAACCAUGACGAUCCAUAGCGAAUUGUUUUUUGCUUGGAGUUGGAAAGAAAGUUGCAAGAAACAGAUAUGAUGAGGCCAUCACCAUCGUUCGUGGUAACUGAUUCGAUUCCAGAGGCUGAUGCGACUAACAUAGAAGAAACAGAUUCAUGUUUGGUGACUGAUUGUGAUCAUGACGACGAUGAUAACGAUCAUGAUGAUUCUGGUUUCGUGCAAGAAGCUCUACACUAUGAAGAAACGAUUCUGGCGGAGGAGGAGGAGGUAGAAUCGAAGCCAUAGGACAGAACAAGAUGAGUUUAUCUCCUACGUCUUGGAUGUUUAAUUUCAAAGGGCACCUAGAGAUGGGUUUAGCUCCUAAGUCUUGGAUGUUUAAAUUCAGUGCGUGAGUCUAAUGUACCGAGAUGGUUUGAGCCUUUCGAGGAAGACGUUUCUGGUUCUGAAAAACACGGGCCAGAUAUUUCAACUUGGAGCCGCGAAGAGGCAAAAUGAACUUCAGGACCUGAGAAAAUUGAACCAAGCUCACUUAUCAAAGUUCUUAUGUAGACAGUGGAUGAGAUUUCAAUACGCAUUUUCAUGUAUUGACUUUUUGUGUCUUAAAUUUUUAAUAGAAAACUAUAUCACAUUCAGAUUAUAUUUAUUAAUGAUUUA